UUUUGUCGUGAUGUAACUUAACUCUGUUGAAAAAUGUAAAGUUUUUAUAAAGUUGUGACAAAGUGGGGGGAUGAGGUUGGGGUGGGUAACUGGAGAAUGGAGAAAUCAGGCUAAUACAUUCUUAUUUUUCUGGUGGAUCUGAAAUGGAUAAAAUGAUCCACUUUCUAAUUAUUGAGCCUGUAUUCGGAUGUGUUAAAUAUACUUGGCUGCCUAAAAGGAUUAAGAUAAACUUACUUGCGACGUUUGUAAAGCCCGGAUUCAGAAAUUAAUUACAAAUAUGUUUAAAUUGGAGUAAAAAAUUGGUUGUGUAGUGUUCAAAAAAUUUUAUGAGAUGAUACGCUCGGCGAUGAAUCCGUUAUAAAUUUUGGAUUAUUAAUUGGAAAUUGGAUUAUAAAAUUUUGAUUCAAGUCGGUGUGACUAUUAAAUUUAUACGCUAAUUAAUUUCGAUUCCAAUUGUACCUGAAAAGUAAUUUCAUUUCGGAAUACAAAUGGGGGAUCGUGCCAAAGAAAUCAAUGGGACAAUAUUCAACCGGAACUUGCAGGAGUAGUUACAAGGAUGUGGUAAGUUUACGUUCAAUAUUAAACUUGUCGAGUAUUAUUUCGGUAGGGAAAAAUCGGGGCUUUAGAUAAAUAAUACACAAUAGGGAGCUUAAAUAUCAUAUUCGAAUUUUAAUCGACGCUAUGUCGUUUGAAAUUAUGAGUUACCUUAAAACGUCACUCAUAAAAUGCUAACCAAAAUUCCAUAAUUCGAUCGUGGAAAAUUAAUAUGGAAAAUGAAAUUAUUUUGCAAAAUUCAAUAUCUUGGAAAAUUGUGAAAUCGAGGCAGAUGUCAAAUUCUAGUCAAAAUAAUUUUUAAAAUUAUUUCCCGUCAUACAAAAUUUGAGACAAAAAUCAAAAUUUGCAAAAAAUUCGCAUAUAUUGGUUCAGAUCUCGAAAACCACCAAUGCACCCCCCAUUAUUAUUACGGAUUCUUCAUGUACAAAAAAUUACGCAAAUUUUAAGCUAUCAAACUUGACAAUCAUCCGAGCACGAAAAAAACACGAUUUGAUUGUAUAUAUCUAUCUUAACUAUCUUAAUUACGAAUAUGUACAACUGUCUAUGAAUUUGUCAACUUGUUUGAGAAAUAUCUUUAGCCUCCCAUGUGUCUUGAAUAUUUACCCGUACUUGGUAAUUAUGUAUGGAAGGAAUAUGUCAUCAUUUUUGUAUCGUCCUGUAAGUAACAAGUAAUAAAUUAUUCAUUGAUUUUAAGUAAUUUUAAUGAUAUAAUACAUAAUAUUUGCUUACUCUCUUUGAUAUGAAUAUAGGUUAUAAUAUGUAAAUAAUGAAUCACCAAGACACAAGAUAUUAGGCAAAUUAUUUCCUAAGCUUGCAUAGUUUAAUGCAAAUUGAUGUAAUUGAUUAAUUUAUGCAUACAUAUGUACAAAUGAAAACGAAUGAUACGAAGAAAUAAAUAAAACUAUAAAGUAUAAAGAAAUUUGA